UACGGGGGGGGCAAGCGUUGUUCGGAUUUACUGGGCGUAAAGCGCGUGUAGGCGGAUCGUUAAGUCGGGGGUGAAAGCCCAGAGCUCAACUCUGGAAUUGCCUUCGAUACUGGCGGUCUGGAGCAGAGAAGAGGCGAGUGGAAUUCCGAGUGUAGAGGUGAAAUUCGUAGAUAUUCGGAGGAACACCAGUGGCGAAGGCGGCUCGCUGGUCUCUUGCUGACGCUGAGACGCGAAAGCGUGGGGAGCAAACAGG
rnacentral:rRNA from 1 species